rnacentral:snoRNA from 2 species
AUCCCAUGGUGCAGACAAGCGGCCACAUACUCCUGUAGUCAUUCCCAUGCUUUGGGAAUUGACUCAUCCCUUGUUUGCUGGAAGCUUGAGUGU